UACAGAGGUCUCAAGCGUUGUUCGGAUUCAUUGGGCGUAAAGGGCGCGUAGGCGGCGAGGUAAGUCGGGUGUGAAAUCUCAGAGCUCAACUCUGAAACUGCACUCGAUACUGCUUUGCUAGAGGACUGGAGAGGAGAUUGGAAUUCACGGUGUAGCAGUGAAAUGCGUAGAGAUCGUGAGGAAGACCAGUGGCGAAGGCGGAUCUCUGGACAGUUCCUGACGCUGAGGCGCGAAGGCCAGGGGGAGCAAACGGGG
rnacentral:rRNA from 1 species